GGGGAAGUAAAAAUGCCGGGAGCGUUGCCUUGGCAAUAUGAAAACCUCAGGAGCUCUCGCGCAGUUGAGGUGCUGGGAAGCGUUUCGCGUCUUAAAGGAAAUAUCUGCCAACUUAGAGACGUGCCGGUGGAAUCUUGGAAGUUAUGAGGACCUCCCCGAAGCCUGGGCUCCAUGAACCACGUGGUCAGGACUCCUGGAUGAAAACCUUCCUCACGGAAAGUUGACAGUGGAAAUCAGAAGAGCAUUUCUGCUUAUGGUGUGUCCGUUUCAGGCAAGAAAGAAGAAGAGCUCCACAGUUCCUCUGAAGAAUUCAUCGUGACACUGUCACCAAAACUUCGCAUAGAUAGUUCACAAGAAAACUACAAGCUCUGUGACAAAAUGGAUGGACCUUGAAGGACUCCUGGGUGAUUCGUGUUCACGUGGAAAUUUGAAAAGCACUGGGGGAGCUGUUCACACCUCAAGCUUUUCUCUGGAUGCUCAGCCUCUUUGAGGAAAGAACUUUGUCCAGAAUAUUCCUCUCCUUGUCCAAAGCCUAAGUUCUGGCAGACAGGCUGCCUGGAGCUCACGGCGGAGGAGAAAACACACGGGAAGCAAACUUCUCUUGAGGGGGAGUUGGACGUGGAAAGAAGAAUGUUUGCCUGCCGUUCCAGUUCUACAAGAUUCAAGCCAUGAACUUUCCCUGCAGUCACCUGGAGGGGAAAACCAAGGAGCUGGAGAAAACCAAGGAGCAGUCUGUGCUUUCGAUCCACCGGCCCCUAGGUAGUUAAGAUACACAUCUAAGGAAAAAUUUCAAAUGAACCGAGUCUUGUUCUUGCCCUACAUAAAAGAAGCACUAAAGUCAUUAACUUGGGAUGUCUGUUCUUUGUGACUAGCGGCAAUCUUUUAAUGUUCAACCACAUGUUUCUUGCAGCAAAAAAACCCCCAAAAAACAGAAAAAACUUUUGCUUUAAUCUGCCUCCCCCCUUAUCUCUUCAGAGCAGUUCCUUGGGGCCAUCUGAGGAGCUGUAUCUGGGCUAUAGCCGUCAGUAAGUUCCCCCAAUAAAACUGAACUCACAAUUUUUAUGUUGUUCAUUUUUAUUUCAGUUGAUAGACAAAUGCUGCCAAGUGGAUUAUGGAGCUUAAUACAGGAGAUGUGUGAAGAGAACAGACAGGAAGAGUGGGAGAGAAAAAGAAGUUAUGGACUCAAUGCAAAGCUCUAGACUUUACAAAUAUAAUGAGCAUCCAGUUAUUCUGCCUCUCAGAGAGCAAUGGGCUACACGGAGCUUCUCAUCCUGAAUCCUUCUUGGCCCGUCGAGAACCCGGAACUGUGGAACACAGACCUCCCACCUCCAGCUUGUCUCACAAGAACACUGUUGAGCCGUAUGGCUGACAGAUGCAUAGUGUCUCUGCUUACCUGGUUCUCAAGACUAUCACACAGUCAUGAGCUUGCUUAGGAUUUCACAGGAAGGAGAAGGAGAUUUCUGCUCUGAAUACUUAGAUGAGCCCGAUAAAGAAGGACAUUCUGAACUCAUCGCAAAUUCAGAGCUCCCUCACCCAGGUCCAUCUCUUUACAGAUCGUGUAACUGCUCAGACUGAGAGAUCCUAAGAUGUAGAUGAGUUAAUGUUAUACUCCUCAGUGUGGUUCAGACUCAUGGGAGGUCAUUUUUUCCUUGGCAGUGAGAUAAGAAGGGAAAUGAAGGGGCUUUCUAAAGAAUUCAAUCCUGGUUCCAUCCUCUUUUUCGCUCUAUAUGCUCUUAGCCUGGAAGAUGGCACCUGUAAGACAGCACUAACCCACCCGCAGGCUGGAUUAAUAAAACCUGGAUGUAAUCAGGCUGCACAGAGGGGUGAUUCCACACCCCUCCCUUCAUUCUAGAACCUCUUGCCCAGAGACCCACCUCAAGGGUGGAGAGAAGGACGCGUACUUGUGGUUGAGCGAUGACAUGAAUAUGACUCUCUUUAAUGAGCUGGGUCCCCUGAUCCAAGCUGGCCUUUUGUCACUGUUCUUCAUGCACUGGAAAAGCCCUGGCAGUGCAGGGCUUCUGUAUGGGGCCUCUGCAGUCGGACUCCUUUGCUGCCUGUCACCUUGUCAUAUAAAACUCUGAGAUCGUUGCCUUUCACUGGAGUCACCUUAGCAGGAUCUUCGGUGUAUUUCUCUGGAUGCUGUGUUGCCCCCAUAAAGCAGCACAUUCUGCUCCCAGGGAACUCUUUAAAGGACAGCGUUCUCUCCUUCUCACCUGCUCCCUCACUGACUCUUCCCUAAGGGUGGUGGAAUGACUUGGGUGGUGGAUUCAGGACUUUUCCUGAAUUUGAAUUUUGCACACUUGAGACAGGCUUUCCCAAAUCUUCACUCUCCGUGUGUAUCCCAGAGAAAGAAAGCCCGUCUUUAGGUUGCACACAUUUCCCCCCUGGAAAAAUGACCAGCCUCUGAAAGGGAGACACAGUGGUCCAGCUUUCCGUGGCCCUGGUGGACACAUUUAAUCCAGGGGGGUUUGUGAUGCAGCCUGUCUGCAAAGGUCAAACCAUAUUCUUCAAGGAGUUCCCGUCGUGGCUCAGCAGAAACAAAUCCGACUAGGAACCAUGA